UUCUAUUUUGUAUAUUUAAUUUAUUUAAAAAUAUCAUGAUUAAUGAUUAUUAUUUAUUUUACAGUCGGUCAAGUGAAAAACUAAUAAAACGGAAUAGAAAUUUGAGCAGGAGUAAUUGUGUAUGUGUAUAAAAAAGCAAAGAGUUAUUGAAACGUAAAAGAUAUUAGAGCAAAGCAAUUGGUGGUCAUUUUUAGUAUCCAUAAUGGAAGACGAAGAGUUAAAUCUUAUGAUGUUGUUGAACUGUGGCGCAUUCAUGACCAUCAUAGAGUCUGGAAAAACCAAAUUAAGACGCAGGAGACCCUGUCAUUGGGCGAGCCCUUAUCUCAAGGCGAGAAAUGAGAAGGGGAGGUUUUUCAC